UCUAUUUUAAUGGCUACAAGCACUGGGUUGCUGUGCUACGCCAAUGACAACAAAGUUAAGGAAACGAUUUUUAUACAUAUACAAACGUUACAAAGAGUAUAAAGAAUUUAGAAUACAAGUCAGUUAAGCUGAAAAAAUACAAAUAAAAAUUAUUGUAAAGACUCUUUGAUUGUAAAGUAUAUAAUAAAUGUGAAAGUAACUACUUGAUACUUGAAAUGAAAUUAUAGUUUUAUGUCAUUUUCUACAAUGAAAGAAGAUAUAGCUUUGUAAAUAUCAAUAUUAAAUACGAGUAAAUUAGAAAUACAAGUGGGAAGAGGAAUAUUAUGGGAUAUGAGACGAUUUAUGAAUGAAGAACGAUCAUAACGUGGACAAGAGAAGAAAAUGUGAUUAAGGUCUCCGACCUCCUCACCACAUUCACAAGCACUACUGCCAAUAAUAUGAAGCCUGGCAAGAUUUUACAAAUUCUAUGCAGACGUGCCCGUUUUCUUUUAUUUACAUUGGAUGUUGAACAAUCAGUAUCCAUACUAGAGGCAGUAUCUACAGUUAUGAACUGUGAAGGUUCAGGAACAACACCCCCAGGGUCUGGGGGCUCCUUCAUCCUGCUCAUAAUAUAUUAAAUUUUAUUAAAAAAAAAAAACUUACCAAUA